rnacentral:rRNA from 1 species
UACGGAGGGUGCAAGCGUUGCUCGGAAUUACUGGGCGUAAAGGGCGUGUAGGCGGUUUCGUAUGUCUGGCGUGAAAGCCCCGGGCUCACCUCGGGAAGUGCGUCGGAAACUGCGAGACUAGAGUCCCGGAGAGGGAGGUGGAAUUCCAGGUGUAGCGGUGAAAUGCGUAGAUAUCUGGAAGAACACCGGUGGCGAAAGCGGCCUCCUGGACGGUGACUGACGCUGAGACGCGAAAGCGUGGGGAG